rnacentral:lncRNA from 1 species
GUACCAUUUAAAUAUACAUGAAAAAUUACAAUGAAGGCUUCAAAACGUUAUCUUAUCUUCAGGAGAUAGUUGACAAAAAAGGUCUGACGAUACAAAACGGACAUUCAAAACUAACAAGUAGUUUAAAAAAAAUGCGAAUAAUCGAAUAUCUUUGCAAUCUUUUCUAUUACGUGAGAAUUUAGCGACAAAAAUCUUUUAAAUCAAUGACUGCAAAAAAAGCAAGAACAGACAUAUAAUUGUAGCUCCACGAUCUUCUGUUGCAGAAUAUUUGGUACGUAAAUUCAUUAUAGUAUUUGUCUUGUUUAUCGCAAUAAGUUUCUGUAAUUUAUUUAAAACAGGUUUCAGUAUCUCCUCUAAUUGUGCCAAAGACAAAUGUAGAUUACAUAAAUAUCCCCAUUUGUUUGGUCCAACUAGAGAGCAAGGACAGCGGCAUGACAAAGGGUCAAUAUUAGUACCAGGCGUAGUCGGAUCAAUGUUAGCUGAUGUCUCUUGUGUUGUAAUUUCUGUAAACGCCAAGAACAAGACAUAUAAUUGUAGCUCCAACAUAGCCAAUAGAAACGGCGGAAAAACGAUCGUCUGCUGCAGAAUAUUUGGUACGCAAAUUCAUUGUAGUGUUUGUCUUGUUUAUCGCAAUAAGUUUCUGCAAUAUAUCUAAAUCAGGUUUCAAUAUCUCCUCUAAUUUUGCCAAAGACAAAUGUAGAUUACGUAAAUAUCCCCAUUUGUUUUGGUCCUACUACAGAGCAAGGACAGCGGCAUGUCAAAGGGUCAAAAUCAGUACCAGGCGUUGUAUGAUUAAUUUUAGCUGUUGUCUUAUCUGUGGUCAUUUCUAAAAUAUAAAAUGUAUGCCUCCUCCUCUGGACAAAUAGUUAAAAAGCAAUCGAAGUUAAGUGCAAUUAUAUCGAUUUCAUAGUUGAGAAAUAUUUGUUUCUAUAUUUAUAUUUUAACUAUCAAAGAUAAUUGUGAACGGUUUGGUAUUAUUUGUUGUAGUGUUUUAUACAUCAAAUUGUUUUUCAAGUCCUUCC